rnacentral:lncRNA from 1 species
UAUUCAUCCCAUCAGCACAGAAUGCCAUCUUGGGAUUUGGGACCCUUUUAGAGGACUAUUAUCUUACACAAGACAUAUGUUGGGUGGAUUCUUAAUCCUGGACCUGUAGGGGCAGUCAAGUGGCAAACUACAAAACAUCCACAGGCAAGGAUUGGGUAUUGCUAGGCUCUACUGACUCAAUAGGAAUUUCUUCACUUGGGACAGUAUCUGGAUUACUCUGUCCUCUAUUUAGAGCUUAUCUGACAUUGCAGCACCACUCUAGAAAGUCAAAUGAGACUCAAAAAAAGAAUGGAUUUCACCAAUUCUCUCUCACAUCUUGAGUGCAGAUUGUCUAGGCCUGACUUGGAAUGCAUUGUACGAACACCAGUAUACAUUAGCUCACACACCAGUCAGGUACAAGGACGCUUGGCAAAAUGUCUUUUCACUGAGAAUCUCUUAGUGUACCCAGACAUUAUGAAUGUAUUGUAUCUGUUGGCACAAGUCCUUUUGCCACAUCAAGGCAGGAUGUCAUCACCUGUCCAGCUAUUCUGCUAAGGUAACAUGACUUAUAAACAAUAGUUUGUCUUGCUAUCAUGAGAUUUACAAUGCAGAGGUUUGUUGUGGCAAAGAUGAAGUUAGACUUCAUCAAGAAAGAUGUCAAAGAGCCUCAUUCUCAACAGCUAAUUGAAGAAGUAGCAGGAACUUUAGCUACAGUUGCAGCAGCUUCAAGUGUUGAGGAGGUGCAAUUGUGAUAGAAAGAAUAAUAAUUUUUAUGUUUAGUUAAUAAUUUCAUGGUGCAUUUUCUAAUUAUUUGGCAAUUAUGAUAAAUUAUACUAUAUUAAGUUUAAUGCAUAAUAAAAUAAAUAUUUCCUAUUAAUAUGCUUAUACACUUCAUAUAUGUUUGAAUUUUUUAAUUUAUCUGAGAAUUUAACUCCCACAUUUCCAGAUAAAUUAAUUUAACGAGAAAC